GAUGGCACGGCUAGCUUCUCUCCAAACUAUCUCGAUCCUUAAUUUAACUGUUUAAGGCUACUUAUAUAGUUCAAGCGUUUGCAAUUGUGGAAGAGACUAGUUCCCCUCGAUAAUAAAUACUUCUAAAUUGCCACAAUUAAUUAAGGCCUUUAAUUAGUCUGCAAUGGCUUUCAAGCAGGUAUGAAGAGAGAGACACUUGAGACCUUCCUACUUUUGUCAAGUUUGCUCCUAAAACCCAAUGCCUCCGUGAACGGACGUGGGUGAACUUGGAAAGGCGUUGAUGGACUGAGAGUGCUCUAAUUGUCCAGCUAAGAGCUUUCAAGCCAUCUUGUACAGUCUCCAAAUCUCCAACAACUGCUCCAUUAUUAUGACCUUAAUCCUCCCGGUUGACGUGGCAACGUGCGAUCCAUUGUAAGUUCACCACACUUAACAUUUCUAGCUUUGUCAUCACCUCUCCGGGCAUUGUGUGUGGCAAUUGUGUGUGAUCAAGAAGUAAGAACCGGAGCUUUAUUGCUAGGUUAGCCAUUUCCAAGAGUAAGGAUUUUUUGGAAGUAUGGCGUAGAUUGAGAUAGUACUGGAGCUCCCCUAGCUAGUAAGCCUACAUCAUCUGGUACAUAGUUCCCGGAUGCCAGUAUAUAUAUGAUAGAUAUCCAAGUAAGUCAAUGCACUCAUAUUCUGAAAGAAACCCUUCUGGAAUCUGGUGAAGAAAUCUGGUUUGAGGUUUGGACAAUUCAUGUGCUAGCUUAUGGGGUACGUACGUAGUUGAAUUCUCCUAUGCAGUAAAGAUAGUCUCUGUGAGUCUCUCCAUUUUUCCAUCUCAACCGGAACUUCAUUUAGCCGAGCGCCGGCUCGCACCUUCUACUUAUUGCCUUCAUCUCUUCCAUUAUGUAGCUAUAGGUCUCUUAGCACAUCAAGUCGUGCAAUUUAACCACUCUUUCGCAAGGACUAUAUAUGCACGGGAUAUAAAUCUGCUAUGCUAGUGAUCUCUAACUAGCAUGCAUGCUGCGUCUAAGUUUAUGUCUUCAAACUCACUCUCACUAAUCAAGCCCCAAUCCGAUCCGUCGUUCUAUCAAUUCUUCUCUUCUGAUCAUGUUACUACCUUCGGGCCACAAGGGAAAAAUAAGGAUCAUUCUAUCAUCUUUCGACUACCAAAGCUAAAUUUGAGAAGAGAAAACAAUUAGGGGAUCAUUAUAAUUAGUACCUACCUGGAAUUUUAGGCUACAAAAUUUUCAGAGACCAGCUAGAGCGGCGCGCAUGUUGCUAUGCUCCAGGAGUCUUCCUUGGUGGAGCAUGGACAUGGCCCCGUUCGAUUGUGAUGAGGGCGAGAUCGAGGGAGGCCACCGAACUCGAUCCUUUGACAACCUCUUUCAGCUAGCUAGACUGGAUAUAUGUAUUCUUGGGUCAGAGCUGAUCAC
rnacentral:lncRNA from 1 species